AACUGUCUGGUGCGCUGUGACAGUGGCAUGUUCACUGCUGUGGUGGGAGACUUCGGCCUGGCAGAGAAGAUCCCUGAUUACAGGUCAGUGGGGCAAAGUCCAACAUCUCUUCCUCUUCUGUUAUCUUAUAACAAGUCCCUCACAAAAAAAAUGGUAUCCUGUGGGAAACUGUGCCAUUCUAACCCUACAGAGUCAAUGGAAUAUGAAGAAUAUUCAAGGUUAAAUUAUAGCAGUAGCUCACAGCAAAUUCAGCUGAGUGCAUGAAGUGUCUCUGAAUGAACACCUGACUUCAAGGAAAACCUGGUGUCUUUGCAGUGAUGGUGUGAAGCAGCCUCUGGCCAUUGUAGGCUCCCCCUACUGGAUGGCUCCUGAAGUUCUGAGAGGGGAGCUGUACAAUGAGAAGGUGGAUGUGUUUGCUUACGGCAUUAUCUUGUGUGAGAUCAUCGCCCGCAUUGAAGCUGAUCCUGACUUCUUACCCAGGACAGAGGUAGGACUGUGUUUGUGUGAAAUAAAAACUUUGAAAUAGAGAGACAUGGAAACUAGUUACGGUUUGUUGAUCCAGAUGAAACUAGUCUUCAGUCUGCAGUGAGAUGACCUGAAUAGCUCAACACUGGACACUGAAGGGGAAUGUGCCUGUGCACGUGUUUGUCUGUAAGGUGUCAUUGUCAUUGGCAAACACUUAAUAACGUUGUUUGUGUGUGUGUGUGUGUGUGUGUGUGUGUGUGUGUGCAGGACUUUGGUCUUGACGUGGAUGCAUUUGAAAACAUGGUUGGGGAUUGUCCACGUUCAUUCUUUAGCCUCGCUGUCACCUGCUGUAAUGUAAGUACACACACACACACACACACACACACACACACACAUACACACACACACAGAUUGUAAACUGACAAAUGCUUUCAGUUUUGUUUUCACUCAUGUCUCACCCUAUCUUGGGCUGUUGGACCUCUCUGAGUUGUACUGAUGUGUUGAUGAGAUAAUUGUGCGUAUGUGGCUCUUUUUUUAUUUUUCUUGUUUUCAGAUGAGUGCAGAGAGGCGCCCGUCAUUCUCAGACAUUGUCUUGACAUUGGAGGGUAUGGAUAGAGAAGAAGAGGGAGAGAAGCCCAUUGCACUUGAGCCAGUGAUGGUAAAUGUAAGCCCAUACCGGCGCCGCAGCUCCCCCUGUCACCUUAGUGACCACAGCCAGCAACGGCAAGGCUUGGCGAGGAGCCAAUCAGACAUGUUACCGCCAGCAACGCUGACCCCUCCUCUCCUUGGGACCCCUGCACGGGUCAACCCCUUCUCUCUCAGACAGGACUUGAAUGGUGGGCGGUGUAAACUCUUAGACACACCGAGCAAGUCCGUCAUCUCCCUGACCUUCACCCUUCCAGCGCUUCGCGAUCCAUGUGCCUCCCCUGACCUUCUCAGAGGGAUGCCGGGGACACGAGCACUGCCGAGGAGAUGUCAGUCGCUUCCCUGUACCCCAGAGCUCAGCAGGACUCUGGCCUUGUCUAGAGACAUGGAGAGGAAAGAGGAGGAAAAGGAUGAUGACGUCAGAGUGGUAGCAGUUAAGGGGGAGAGAGGGGAAGAUAUGGAGGACGACGUGAGGAAUAAGACAGGUGUGUUAGAAAAGGUGGAUGAAAGGUUGCAUGACAAGUAUAUGGAGAUAACUGAGAGGAGAGAGUUGUUGAAUGAGAAGGAUGGGAUGGUGGAGCAUUCAGGUUUUCCUGUUGAGCUGGAGAUGGUUUCUCUGGAGCGUUUGGAGGAGGUGGAGGAGGAGGGAGAGAGUGUGUGUUUAACAGAGCCCAUGGACUGCACCAAGUCUCCAGAGACUGCAGAUAGAGUCUUGGACUCCACACCUGUAAGACCCCUGCUCUACUCUACUUCCUCCUCCUUACGGACCAAUGGAUGGCGACUUCCCAUCUCCAAUGGACCACCCUCCUUGCCUCCUCUGCCACGACUGGACAACAACAACGGCUCAGCCCUUGUAAUUGGCCAACAGGUCCAGUGGGGUCUAGGAGGGCAGUCUAAUGGUUACAACGGAGCCCAGGUCCUGUCCUCUGAUCUUAACUGCACCUCUGAACAGGAUGAGGUCAUUUCCUGUCCAGGCUGUUGCCUGGUAGGUCUGAGUUUCCCCUCGGUGUGCCUCCGCAGUUCAGCUACGGUGACUGCCCCACUUCGAAGGGCUUCGUUACCACGGCAGCGACCCUACCGGAACCUCAAUGGUCCCAUAACUAGUGGCAGCGCUUCCUCGUCAGCUGCCACAGCAACCAAAGCUCUACUGUUCGGCAGCACAAAUGGACAAGUUGUGGCUGGGCCCUCAGCGAUGUGUGAGCCUGGCCGGUCCCUGCCAGAGGCCCAGACAUAAACUGGCUCAGUGGGGAUUUGGUUUUGAACUUGUGAUAUCCACCAGCACUAAAUGUUCGCAGACAAACACAGCAACACUACAUGUUGCUUUGCUAAUACUGAGAACCCAAUACUGACCCCAGCAUCUGAGAUGUUUUGUUAAUUUUGUAAAGUAACGGCACACUGUAGUAGUUAGUAGUUAAAGAGCCAACUGGUGGGCUGGAGGAUUAAUCACAACAAAUCACAGUGACAGUGAAGAACGUGGUGGUCUAACGUAGAGCAGGCAGAAUACAGCUAAAACAGACGAGCUUCAGACCAAGCAGGGUGAGCUGGGCUCUGAACUUAACACUGAACAGUCAGGGUCAACCUCCCAUUACUGCCGCUGGAAUGGUGCUGAUCCAAACAGAGCAGCUAGUCUCAGACUUACAUGCAUGCUCCAUCCAUACUCAACCAAAUCAAACUGAACUCAGUCUGCACUCAUCUGCGCUGCCUUCAUGCCUGGAGGCUCUUAUGGUAUAAAAAGUGUGUGGCUGACUAAACAAGCAGAGUAUACUUGCAAUUUAUUAUCAUAGUUAUGGCCAUAAUUUCUAUCAAUAAAAAUAACAUUAUACUCAACAAAUUAAUUGCUGGAAUGUGCAAACACGUAGACACGAUUCAUAAGUAGUCUGAUGUGGCAAGAAACUCUGAGGAAAGUCAAAGUGAUAUGGAAGGAAAGAAGAUGGUGGACAGUGAAACAAUGACCUAGUCUGUACAUUGUAACCAUCCAUCACAGUUUACAGACAGACUUCCUGCUUCAAUUUCAAAACUCUUCUUUUGUUUUGCAUGGCAGCCCUGGCACUGCACUGCACUGUUACGGCCAGGCCAGGUAUGGAUUGAAAUCUAUGGAUGUGAAUGAGGUUUACUACAGCCAGCCCGGUGUGGCUGCAGGUACAUAAACAUAUGAUAAAACACUGUUUUUGAUUCUGUUUAACUGAUUAACAGUAGCUUAACCCUGGGAAUAUUUAUACAAUUAAUAAAGAGGAUUUGCUUCCUACAUUUUUUAUCGCAGCUGCCCUCAGAGUGUGUGUGUGUGUGUGUGUGUGUGUGUGUGUGUGUGUGUGUGUGUGUGUGUGUGUGUGUGUGUGAGACAUACAGACUGAUAUCUGUUGCUAAAAGAAGAAAAUUCCUCUGCUCGUCAUGUAAAGUCUUUAUUUUUGCACUUCAGUUUGGAGCACCUUGCAGUAAGACAUCAGGCUUUCACUAGAUGGUGCUUUAUUUAAAUCUGUGCUUCUGGUGGUUUAUGUGCGUGUGCUUUUGGCCAGACAAACUACAGAGCUCUCACCCUUUGACAUCUACUCCCACUCACAUGUAUCUUGUGUAUUUACAUAUACAUUUUGAUCACACCGUUAUUGUUACUUAAAAAGUGUCAAAUGAAGCAGGUAUGAAUAUUUAUUGUACAGAUCAUUCCACACACUGUGUGUGUACAGUAUGUGCUGCAAAAGGUAGUGUGAUGGAUACUUACAGGAUACAUUGUUAUCCUAUCAUUUCUGAUGUUAAACCAUGGUUCUUGCUUCAUUUCUAUUUUUGUUCUGUUCUUCCAUACAGUUAGAAACCUGCGUGCAAUAAUCUGAUAAUAAAAAACAUGGUUGUGCAUAACCCUCUGUGGUGUUUUUAUUUCUUCUUUUUUAAUUGGGUAAGUAGCUGAAAGUGAAAAGGUAACUAUUUAUUGAAAAAAAGCAAGUUUAAAGUUGUAAACAUUACAAUUAAAAAUUAAGUAAUUACUUCUGCAGAUUGAGCAAAUUAAAAUUCCAAAGAUAUCAACCGCCUUAAACAAUAUGUGUAAUAAUUUGAAUGUUUAAUACAAAGAGUUUAUAACUGCUUAUGAAUCAGUCGUAAUUUAAAACUGAUAGUGACUGUAGUCUGGUGGUACAGCCUGAAACCUGUUUACUUUUUCAGAUAUGAUAUAUUUAUAUUAAAAUAACAAAGCCACAAAUAGAUUCAUUAUGUCGUCAGCUUGCAUCCUGUAAACAGCUGUGUAUUAAAAAAGAAAAAGAAAACAAAUAUUAAAAUGUCUGUUCUUUCAUUUGCUUUCAAACUGGAAACAAAAUAUAAUUGAGCUUAUGAUGUAAAUCUAUUCCUCUUGCAUGGGAACCAAAUGCACUGUAAUUGUAAAAUAAAAAACUAUUACUUAUUGUGGGUAGUAUGGUGGAGCAGUGGUUAAAGCAGGCAGGUAUGAGUAUGAUUCCGUUUCUUUGUGUGUUUUGCAGGAUGUUAAGGUGGUGUGAUCCAUCCUGUUAGUUGUUUUUCUUUUAACUUUAAUCACCACCAGCUCAACUACUCCACCAUAGAGAACAGGACACUAGCUAUGUUCGGGCCAGGUUGUUCAUACUGACCAUAACCUUCUUGUGUUACUGGUCCAGAUUUAUUCUGGGCCCACACAGUUCUUGUUAAUUAACCGAGGUCUCUGCUCACCCCAUGUCAGAUUAUAACUCAAAGAAGUUCAGCUCAGUUAGAUCAUAACUGAGGAAGAAAAUACACAUUUGAAAUGAUGUCUGGAAAGAGCCCUAUGGCCCCCAGACCUAAAUGGUGAUUCAUGUCCGUCUCCAGCACCCUGCAGAUACACAUUUGCAUAACACCAGUUGGUCUAAGGACAUCUGGACCCACCUUGAUCACUAUGUUAAAUGUGUGCCCCCAUGACACCCUCCCUUUGCAUGCCUUUUGUUUACCUUUUGUUUGAACCUGCCCUUCCCUCUUCUUUGUUGACCCGCUCUGUGCCUGUCGGUUCACCAGUUUACCGGUAUUCUUUGAAUAAACACAUCACCAC
ensembl:lncRNA